UUAAGCGACUAAGCGUACACGGUGGAUGCCCUGGCAGUCAGAGGCGAUGAAGGACGUGCUAAUCUGCGAUAAGCGUCGGUAAGGUGAUAUGAACCGUUAUAACCGGCGAUUUCCGAAUGGGGAAACCCAGUGUGAUUCGUCACACUAUCAUUAACUGAAUCCAUAGGUUAAUGAGGCGAACCGGGGGAACUGAAACAUCUAAGUACCCCGAGGAAAAGAAAUCAACCGAGAUUCCCCCAGUAGCGGCGAGCGAACGGGGAGCAGCCCAGAGCCUGAAUCAGUGUGUGUGUUAGUGGAAGCGUCUGGAAAGGCGCGCGAUACAGGGUGACAGCCCCGUACACAAAAAUGCACAUACUGUGAGCUCGAUGAGUAGGGCGGGACACGUGGUAUCCUGUCUGAAUAUGGGGGGACCAUCCUCCAAGGCUAAAUACUCCUGACUGACCGAUAGUGAACCAGUACCGUGAGGGAAAGGCGAAAAGAACCCCGGCGAGGGGAGUGAAAAAGAACCUGAAACCGUGUACGUACAAGCAGUGGGAGCACAGAGCAAUCUGUGUGACUGCGUACCUUUUGUAUAAUGGGUCAGCGACUUAUAUUCUGUAGCAAGGUUAACCGAAUAGGGGAGCCGAAGGGAAACCGAGUCUUAACUGGGCGUUAAGUUGCAGGGUAUAGACCCGAAACCCGGUGAUCUAGCCAUGGGCAGGUUGAAGGUUGGGUAACACUAACUGGAGGACCGAACCGACUAAUGUUGAAAAAUUAGCGGAUGACUUGUGGCUGGGGGUGAAAGGCCAAUCAAACCGGGAGAUAGCUGGUUCUCCCCGAAAGCUAUUUAGGUAGCGCCUCGUGAAUUCAUCUCCGGGGGUAGAGCACUGUUUCGGCAAGGGGGUCAUCCCGACUUACCAACCCGAUGCAAACUGCGAAUACCGGAGAAUGUUAUCACGGGAGACACACGGCGGGUGCUAACGUCCGUCGUGAAGAGGGAAACAACCCAGACCGCCAGCUAAGGUCCCAAAGUCAUGGUUAAGUGGGAAACGAUGUGGGAAGGCCCAGACAGCCAGGAUGUUGGCUUAGAAGCAGCCAUCAUUUAAAGAAAGCGUAAUAGCUCACUGGUCGAGUCGGCCUGCGCGGAAGAUGUAACGGGGCUAAACCAUGCACCGAAGCUGCGGCAGCGACGCUUAUGCGUUGUUGGGUAGGGGAGCGUUCUGUAAGCCUGCGAAGGUGUGCUGUGAGGCAUGCUGGAGGUAUCAGAAGUGCGAAUGCUGACAUAAGUAACGAUAAAGCGGGUGAAAAGCCCGCUCGCCGGAAGACCAAGGGUUCCUGUCCAACGUUAAUCGGGGCAGGGUGAGUCGACCCCUAAGGCGAGGCCGAAAGGCGUAGUCGAUGGGAAACAGGUUAAUAUUCCUGUACUUGGUGUUACUGCGAAGGGGGGACGGAGAAGGCUAUGUUGGCCGGGCGACGGUUGUCCCGGUUUAAGCGUGUAGGCUGGUUUUCCAGGCAAAUCCGGAAAAUCAAGGCUGAGGCGUGAUGACGAGGCACUACGGUGCUGAAGCAACAAAUGCCCUGCUUCCAGGAAAAGCCUCUAAGCAUCAGGUAACAUCAAAUCGUACCCCAAACCGACACAGGUGGUCAGGUAGAGAAUACCAAGGCGCUUGAGAGAACUCGGGUGAAGGAACUAGGCAAAAUGGUGCCGUAACUUCGGGAGAAGGCACGCUGAUAUGUAGGUGAAGUCCCUCGCGGAUGGAGCUGAAAUCAGUCGAAGAUACCAGCUGGCUGCAACUGUUUAUUAAAAACACAGCACUGUGCAAACACGAAAGUGGACGUAUACGGUGUGACGCCUGCCCGGUGCCGGAAGGUUAAUUGAUGGGGUUAGCGCAAGCGAAGCUCUUGAUCGAAGCCCCGGUAAACGGCGGCCGUAACUAUAACGGUCCUAAGGUAGCGAAAUUCCUUGUCGGGUAAGUUCCGACCUGCACGAAUGGCGUAACGACUUCCCCGCUGUCUC
rnacentral:rRNA from 1 species